rnacentral:sRNA from 1 species
AAUUCUGAAGUCUCAUUGACUCUUUCUCGCUCUAUGCACAAAGCCUUUUGGGUUUUUCGAGUUUUAUUUUCUAUUCGUUUCUCAACUGGGGCCACAACAACAACAGCUCGGCGGCUCCUCCACCGGUGAACUCUUUGAUUGGUAUACUAACCUCUUGCGUGUAUGGCUGCGUGUGUGGUUUAUCCAAGUGGUAGAUACUUCGUCGUCAUCAUAUUGUAACGCAGUUUGAUUGGUGACUGGGCAGCGUCGGUGAGGCUAGCGCAUACACCGGCAGUGUCGCUCAGAAUUCCGGGCUCUGGAUCGAGCGCGUGUGUGUGUGUGUGUCUGUAACCACCCACCCGAGUUGACUAGUGUUUUUCUUUCGAGGAAGACGACUAGUUCCUGGUCGUUGGUGUCGACACCGUUUGUCCGUUUACAGUUGCCGUGUUUGUGCUCUCGAGUGUUCUCUUCGAUUACUGGCGUCUUUUCUUUUCUUUCUUUUGGACUACGUGCGCCACUUCUAGCAGUUCGAUCGCCACCGAUCGAUAUCGAUCUUCACCAUCUUUGUCUUUUUGCUCCUCUGCUUUUCUUUUUUCUCCUUGUUGCCCUGUUUUUUUUUUCUUUCUUUCUUUUAUUUAUCUAUUUUUGUUUUUGUUGGGUUCUUUUUUUUUUCUUUUAACCCUUUUUCUUUUCUGUCCUUUUCGCGAAUUUUCUUUUAUUUCGUGACGACGGCCAACCAAACAGCGAACACAUCUGUGUCUGCGUGUGUGGGUGUGUGAGUGUGUACCGUGUAAUUCCCGUUCCUUCAGUCUCGUCCCUCUUCUGUUGCGGGUUUGUGAGUGUUCCCUGUACUCUAUCGACAACACGCGUUGGUGGGCAGACCAACAGUGAAUAGCAGCAAUCUAACCGAAUCCAUUUUUCUUAACGGAUAUUUAAAAAAAAGGCAACCUUGUUCAACGAAAAAGGAAAAAAAAAAUAAAAAAAAAGAAGAAGAACUAAAGUAAAUAAUAAAAAAGGAAACAAAUAAACGAGUAAAACAAGAAGCCCAAAGACGGGCCCACAAACAGUCAGCCCACGGACCAAAAGUGAGAGACGAGGAGAAAAAAUACCGGUCACGUUCGUGGAGACGAACGUUGGCCCAUUUCGAUCAGAGGAUGCCUUUCGGUGAAGUCAUGUAUCGCUGCAACGCGCAUUAUUGUUUCAGCAGCGUGUUCCGCAAUCGCGUCGUCGGACUGGUCGUCACGCUGGCGCUCAUGCAACUCUUUCUCUUCUCCUUCUACCUCAACGGCCUGCACAGUCAAGUGGUCGUCACGACCAAUACGGGUAGCAGCAGCAACAGUCCCGUUUCGUCAUCGGAGCAACAGGAUGGACAUUAUCAGCCGUUAGAAUUGGCUGCUGUCGUCCAACAGGCUGUUGGCCCGCGACACGCAGACAACCCUACAGUAGUAGUGGCAGGCGCCGGGAGCGCGGCUACGGUCGUGGGGGCUGACUUUAACCUUGGCCAACGGUCAGCGCCAGUAGGUCAAGAGGUGGAUCGGCCAGACGAAGAAGUUCCUCAAUCCGUCCAUCAGCAAAGCCAAGGCCGCCAUGGGAGACGUAGCUAAGAAAGCUCUUGAUCACCUGAUGACGAACAAAAAACCAGCCAUGGAUUUAAUGGCCAUGGCUGCCAAGAAGCUAUCAGCCGACCCUAACGACCCAACGAUGGCGAAACUUGGUCUUAAUCUGUUGGCUAAUGCUUUUAACAACAUGAAAAACCAACGGGGACCAGCCCAGCUAAAGCCACAACAACAGCAACAGCAGCCAACGAAUGAAGUGACGGGUCGCCAGCAACAAGCUGUCGCCAACAGUAAUGAGCCAGCCUCGUCAUCAGCCGUUAACGAUGUCGAGGAUCAAUCCAAAUCCCAAGUACGCCAAUCUAGCGCAAAUGGGAUUACAAAUGCUAACCAACGGUCUGGCCGAUCCUUCGUCGAUUGCAGCUAAUAAGGGAUCCAGUCCGGACAUGCGCAUGCUGGAAAUGGCUUCUCAAUUGAUGUGGCAGAGCGCCAAACUAUCGAAAGCCGGAUUCGACCCUCAAAUGGCCAAAUCGGCCUUGGGUUUGCUUAAAGGCGCUGUGGCUAGUCAAAAACUCGAUCCCAAGCUCAUUCUCGGCCUGGCUACCAAGAUGAUGACAAUGCAACAACAACUGCAACAGCAACAACAACCAUCGUCUGUUUCCGGCGAAACUAAUGGCGGUGGCUUCAACUUGUUGAGCCAAUUGUUGUCCAACGGCCAGCUGGCGUCGGCGCUGCUCAACGCCGGAGCUGCUGCCGCUCAGCCGGCAGUUUCGGCCGACCAAUCCAAUGCGAUUUAUCGCAAUUAUGUCAAGGUGACCAGCAGAAAAUUGCCGACGCUCAAAUCGAAGAUGUCGUCACCUUAUUCCAUCCCGUCUGGCAAAGUUGUCGUCGACAUUGGAUUUCAGUUCACGAUGGAAGCGGUGGACACGUGCCGCUCCAACGCCACCUACCUGAUUAUGGCCAUUUCAUCGGCUGCGCACACUGAAGAACGACAGGCGGCUCGCGACACGUGGAUCAAAGAUUUGCAUCAGCUGGUCGGCGGCAAAGUCGACGUUGUUUUCAUAAUUGGCCAAACGGCGAACGUCACUCUGCAUCGGGCCAUCGAAGAGGAGGCAACCACCCACCGGGACUUGAUCCAGACCAACGUGCAAGAGCCAAUAGAGAAUGGCGUUUUCAAAACUUUGGCCGGGCUCGUCUGGAUCGACCGCCACUGUCCGGAAAUUGAGCAAAUCCUCAAGAUCGAUGAUGACGUCUACGUCAGCGCAGCAACAAUGCUCAAGGCGAUGGAGAAGGGCAAAGCGAGGCCCACCAUUACCGGUAGCUUGAUCGACAGCAUGAAUCCACACACGACAUCAGACGAGAGACAUAAAACGACGAAAAAAGCGUGGCCACUCAAAGAGUUCCCUCGUUUCGUUCUUGGUGGAGCUUACCUGAUGGGCAGGCCAGCAGUGCCUCGUUUAUUGGCCGCCGCUCAGGUGACCCUGUUCUACCACUCGAAGAUGUCUACGUGACCGGGUUGUGCGCCGUCGGUGGCAAAGUGGAGCUUAUUCCAAAAAAAAGCCUGUUUGAAGAAGAAAUUAGCGAAGAAUUGGAGACUUGUACCUUUGAAGAUUUCGCUUCGUGGCGCUCGACUGGGGCCGCUGACGUUAAACAGACGUGGAAUUUUGCUCAAGCGAUGAAGAGAAGCGGCGAAAUUUGCAUCACGACCAACAAGUGCGCCCGAACGUUCAUGGGCAUUUGCAUCCCAUCCUCGUCCUAAUUCGCUCUCUACCGUCGUCUCUGUACAUCGAUCUUUUAUCGUGAUUUUCAAAUCGGACUGGCUCCAUUUAAUCUCCGACCUAUCGCAAUCAUUUGCAGUUAUUUAUUUAUUUGCCGGCAGUUGAAUAUUAUGGAAUUUCACGUUUGGUGGAUGACGUGUUGGUAAUCUUGGCAUGUAAAAUAUUAUCUUUUUGAGCUACACUGUUGAACAACCUGGACAGAUAAAACCGAUUUGAUCGAGAGCCCCAGCAAUCACAAAAGGGAAAACUUAUAAAUCAUCUCAUAGAGGUUUCGCGGGUUGUUCGUCCUUUUUACUUGUAUCCUUCUGUAAUCAUCAAUGACUUCUGCAAAAAUAAUAAGACAAGUAAUACAAACCAUGUUUUUUUUAUUA